rnacentral:rRNA from 1 species
GCAAGUCGAGCGGUAGCGGGAAGAGCUUGCUCUUUGCCGACGAGCGGCGGACGGGUGCGUAACACGUAGGAAUCUGCCUGGUAGUGGGGGAUAGCCCGGAGAAAUCCGGAUUAAUACCGCAUACGCCCUAAGGGGGAAAGGAGGGGACUCUUCGGAGCCUUUCGCUAUCAGAUGAGCCUGCGUCGGAUUAGCUUGUUGGUGGGGUAAAGGCCUACCAAGGCAACGAUCUUUAGCUGUUCUGAGAGGAUGAUC